GUGGGCCAUUGAGCUAAGCGGGCCUGGGGGAGGCAGCAGGGGUCGAAGUGACCGGGGCAGUGGCCAGGGAGACUCGCUCUACCCAGUCGGUUACUUGGACAAGCAAGUGCCUGAUACCAGCGUGCAAGAGACAGACCGGAUCCUGGUGGAGAAGCGCUGCUGGGACAUCGCCUUGGGUCCCCUCAAACAGAUUCCCAUGAAUCUCUUCAUCAUGUACAUGGCAGGCAAUACUAUCUCCAUCUUCCCUACUAUGAUGGUGUGUAUGAUGGCCUGGCGACCCAUUCAGGCACUUAUGGCCAUUUCAGCCAGUAAGUAUUCUUGAAACAAUAACCCUUCCAUAAGUUUGAAGAAUUAAAGGCAGGCCGGGCAUGGUGGCUCACACCUGUAAUCCCAGCACUUUGGGAGGCCAAGGUGGUGGCACACGCCUGUAAUCCCAGCUGCUCGGGAGGCUGAGACAGGAGAAUCACUUGAACCUGGGAGGCAGAGGUUGCAGUGAGCCGAGAUCGUGCCACUGCACUCCAGCCUGGGUGACAGAAUGAGACUCCAUCUCAAAAAAA
rnacentral:sRNA from 1 species